UACGUAGGCAGCGAGCGUUGUUCGGAGUUACUGGGCGUAAAGCGUGCGUAGGCGGUUGUCUAAGUUUGGUGUGAAAUCUCCCGGCUUAACUGGGAGGGUGCGCCGAAAACUGGGUGACUGGAGUGUCGGAGAGGUAAGCGGAAUUCCUGGUGUAGCGGUGAAAUGCGUAGAGAUCAGGAGGAACACCAGUGGCGAAGGCGACUUCCUGGCCUGUUCUUGACGCUGAGGCGCGAAAGCUAGGGUAGCAAACGGG
rnacentral:rRNA from 1 species